UUAGUCGGUCUCGGAGCAAACGAAGUGAAGCAUGUUAUUUAAUACGACAAUACGCGUAUAACCUUACCAGACCUUGCAUAUCGUGCGUCUUUUUAUUUUUUUAAUUUGAGUGAGUAUAUUUUUAAUCUUUUUUGCGAAAUAAUACGCAGAUACAGGUGUUGCAUGGCUGUCGUC
rnacentral:rRNA from 1 species